GAUGAACGCUGGCGGCGUGCCUAAUACAUGCAAGUCGAGCGAACAGACGAGGAGCCUGCUCCUCUGACGUUAGCGGCGGACGGGUGAGUAACACGUGGAUAACCUACCUAUAAGACUGGGAUAACUUCGGGAAACUGGAGCUAAUACCGGAUAAUAUAUUGAACCGCAUGGUUCAAUAGUGAAAGACGGUUUUGCUGUCACUUAUAGAUGGAUCCGCGCCGCAUUAGCUAGUUGGUAAGGUAACGGCUUACCAAGGCAACGAUGCGUAGCCGACCUGAGAGGGUGAUCGGCCACACUGGAACUGAGACACGGUCCAGACUCCUACGGGAGGCAGCAGUAGGGAAUCUUCCGCAAUGGGCGAAAGCCUGACGGAGCAACGCCGCGUGAGUGAUGAAGGUCUUCGGAUCGCAAAACUCUGUUAUUAGGGAAGAACAAAUGUGUAAGUAACUAUGCACGUCUUGACGGUACCUAAUCAGAAAGCCACGGCUAACUACGUG
rnacentral:rRNA from 1 species